rnacentral:lncRNA from 1 species
GUUGAACCUUACUUUGGAAAGAGCAGUUUUCUAACACUGUUUUUGUAAAAUUUCCAAGUGAAUACUUUGAGUGCUUUGAAGCCUAUGGUAGACAACGAAAUAUCUUCAUGUAAAAACUACAAAGAAUCAUUCGCAGAAACCACGUUGUGAUCUCUGCAUUCAACUCACAGAGUUGAACCUUUCUUCCUAUAGAGCAGCUAUGAAACAGUCUCUUUGUAGAAUUUGCAAGGGUGUAUUUAGAGGGCAUUGAAGCCUACGGUAGAAAAGGAAAUAUCUUACCAUAAAAUCUACUCAGAAGCAUUCUCAGAAACUGAGUUGUGAUGUUUGCAUUCAACUCACAGAGUUCAACAUUCCUUUUAAUGGAGCGGUUUUGAAACACUCUUUUUGCAGAAUCUGCAAGUGGAUAUUUGGACCUCUUUGAGGCCUUCGUUGGAAACGGGAUUUCUUCAUGUAAUGCCAGACAGAAGAAUUCUCAGUGAAUUCUUUCUGUGUGUGUGUAUUCAACUCACAGAGUUGAACGUUCCUUUAGACAGAGUAGAUUGGAAACACUCUUUUUGUGGAAUUUUCAGGUGGAGGUAUCAAGCGCUUUGAGGCCAAUGAUAGAAAAGGAAAUACCUUCGUAUAAUAAUUAGACGGAAUCAUUCUCAGAAACUGCUUUGCAAUGUGUGCGUUCAACUCACAGUGUUUAACCUUUCUUUUCAUACAGUUGUUUCGAAACACUCUUUUUGCAGAAUCUGCAAGUGGAUAUUUGGACCUCUUUGAAGUCUUCGUUGGAAAUGGGAUUUCUUCAUAUAAUGCUAGACAGAAGACUUCUCAGUAACUGCUUUUUCUGGUGUGUAUUCAACUCUCAGAGUUGAACUUUCCUUUAGAAACAGCAGAGUUGAAACUCUCUUUUUGUGGAAUUUGCAAGUGGAGAUUUCAAAGCUUUGAGGCCAAUGGUAGAAAAGGAAAUAUCUUCGUAUGCAAACUAGACAGAAUCAUUCUCAGAAACUACUUUGGUACGUGUGUGUUCAACUCACAGUGUUUAACCUUUCUUUUCAUAGAGCAGUUUGGAAACACUCAGUUUGUAAAGUCAGCAACUGGAUAUUUGGAUGUAUUUGAGGCCUUCGUUGGAAACGGGAUUUCUUCAUAUAAUGCUAGACAGAAGAAUUCUCAGUAACUUCUUAGGGUUGUGGGUAUUCAACUCACAGAGUUGAAGCUUCCUUUAGGCGGAGCAGAUUGGAAACACUUUUUGUGGAAUUUUCAGGGGGAGACUUCAAGCGCUUUGAAGUGAAUGGUAGAAAAGGAAAUAUCUUCGUAUAAAAACUAGACGGAGUCAUUCUCAGAAACUACUUUGUGAUGUUUGCAUUCAACUCACAGAGUUUAACGUUUCUUUUCAUAGAGCAGUUUGGAAACACUCUUUUUGCAGAAUCUGCAAGUGGAUAUUUGGACCUCUUUGUGGCCUUCGUUGGAAACGGGAUUUUUCAUAUAAUGCUAGACAGAAGAAUUCUCAGUAACUUCUUUUUGUGGUGUGUAUUCAACUCACAGAGUUCAACUUUCCUUUAGACAGAGCAGAUUUGAAACUCUCUUUUUGUGGAAUUUGCAAGUGGAGAUUUCAAGCGCUUUGAGGCCAACGGUAGAAAAGGAAAUAUCUUCGUAGAAAAAAUAGACGGAAUCAUUCUCAGAAACUGCUUUGUGAUGUGUGCAUUGAACUCACAGUGUUUAACACUUCUUUUCAUAGAGCACUUUGGAAACACUCAGUUUGUAUUGUCUGCAACUGGAUAUUUGGACCUCUUUGAGGCAUUCGUGGUAAACGGGAUUUCUUCGUGUAAUGAUAGACAAUAGAAUUCUCAGUGAAUUUUUUUCUGUGUGUGUGUAUUCAACUCACAGGGUUGAACCUUCCUUUAGACAGUGCAGAUUUGAAACACUUGUCUGUGGAAUUUGCAAGGGGAGAUUUCAAGCACUUUGAGGCCAUUGGUGGAAAAGGGAAUAUCUUCGUAUAAAAACUAGACAGAAUCAUUCUCAGGAACUACUUUGUGAUAUGUGCAUUCAACUCACAGAGUUUAACCUUUCUUUUCAUAGAUGAGUUUGGAAACAGUCAGUUUGUGAAUUCUGCAACUGGAUAUUUGGACCUCUUUGAGGCUUUCGUUGGAAACGGGAUUUCUUCACAUAAUGCUAGACAGAAGAAUUCUCAGUAACUUCUUUUGGGAUGUAUGUAUUCAACUCAGAGAGUUGAACCUUCCU